UCCCAAAGUAUAGCUAAGUGGGAAACGAUGUGGGAAGGCUCAGACAGCCAGGAUGUUGGCUUAGAAGCAGCCAUCAUUUAAAGAAAGCGUAAUAGCUCACUGGUCGAGUCGGCCUGCGCGGAAGAUGUAACGGGGCUAAGCUAUACACCGAAGCUGCGGCUACGUACCUUAGGGUAUGUGGGGUAGGGGAGCGUUCUGUAAGCCGUUGAAGGUGKKCUGUAAGGSMURCUGGAGGUAUCAGAAGUGCGAAUGCUGACAUGAGUAACGAUAAAGGGAGUGAAAAACUCCCUCGCCGGAAGACCAAGGGUUCCUGUCCAACGUUAAUCGGGGCAGGGUAAGUCGACUCCUAAGGCGAGGCCGAAAGGCGUAGUCGAUGGGAAACGGGUUAAUAUUCCCGUACUUCUUACAAUUGCGAUGGGGGGACGGAGAAGGCUAGGUGGGCCUGGCGACGGUUGUCCAGGUUCAAGUAUGUAGGCGGGUGGUUUAGGUAAAUCCGGACCACUACUAACGCUGAGAUACGAUGUCGAGCUACUACGGUAGUGAAGUCAUUGAUGCCAUGCUUCCAGGAAAAGCCUCUAAGCUUCAGAUUGUAAGGAAUCGUACCCCAAACCGACACAGGUGGUCGGGUAGAGAAUACCAAGGCGCUUGAGAGAACUCGGGUGAAGGAACUAGGCAAAAUGGUACCGUAACUUCGGGAGAAGGUACGCUCUUAUCAGUGAAGUCCCUUGCGGAUGGAGCAGACGAGAGUCGCAGAUACCAGGUGGCUGCAACUGUUUAUUAAAAACACAGCACUGUGCAAAAUC
rnacentral:rRNA from 1 species